UACGGAGGGUGCAAGCGUUAUCCGGAUUCACUGGGUUUAAAGGGUGCGUAGGUGGGUUGUUAAGUCAGUGGUGAAAUCUCCGAGCUUAACUUGGAAACUGCCAUUGAUACUAUCAGUCUUGAAUAUUGUGGAGGUCAGCGGAAUAUGUCAUGUAGCGGUGAAAUGCUUAGAUAUGACAUAGAACACCAAUUGCGAAGGCAGCUGGCUACACAUAUAUUGACACUGAGGCACGAAAGCGUGGGGAUCAAACAGG
rnacentral:rRNA from 1 species